AUGGCUGUAUCCUUAUUUUCCAUUGUAUCAUGUCUCCACUUCUAUCUAACAGGGAUCGUAGCUCUUGCUAUAGUUGUAAGUUGUGAUCCUAAAUGUAUAUUUUUUCGAUAUCAUGAUCCUAAAUGUAAACUUGAUGGUGCUGAAAUUACAAAUGAAUUCUCGGCAGUGCAUGUUGAUAUGGCACUUGUAAAAACUGAAGAUUUGGUAUGGAGUCGUAAAACAUGUAAUAUUCUCGGUAAUGCAGAAAAAACAAAGAUUGCAUUGCCUUCAACCUUUGUAUGUGAGUCCUGUCUAUAUCACUACUUGCAUCAUGUCAAUGCAUUCUGUGUAAACAACUCAUUUUGUUAUUUUCUUUGUAGAUUCAAAAGAUAUAUGGAUGAUUAUAUGGGUGCGUGGCAAGAAUACUGCAAUGAUGAUGAUGGUGUUCUGGUUCAUGAUGAUGAUGAUGACGACGGACGCUUUUAG
rnacentral:rRNA from 1 species